rnacentral:rRNA from 1 species
UUGACCGUCCGAGUUGUAAUCUAGAGAAGUGUGUU